rnacentral:rRNA from 1 species
AUGGCAGGCGGCCGUGGCCGCGGCGCCGGAAGGAACCCGGCGCCCUCCUCCUCCUCCUCCUCCUCCUCGUCCCGGCACCGGAAGCCCCGGUCCUCGCGCGAGUUCGGCCAUGAAAGUCCCUUACAAUCUCAAAAGGAGGGGUCGAGUUCAUCUUCUCCCUCAGUCAGCAGUAAAAAAUCACCGCAACAGAUAGUUACACCAGUUCUACCAAAGUCUCUAGAUUCACCAGUUCAACCACCAAAGUCUCUUGAUUCAUCACUGAUGAUGGCUGAACAAGUUCAACCACUGGUCCAAAGGGCUGCAUCGAUUCAACUAUCAAAACCUCUAGACUCCAGUAGCGCUUCAUGUGUCUCUGGAACUGUGGGGUCUGAUUUAGGAGCUGCUCCAUUUGACAUAUGCAUGGGUAACAGCAAAGGCAUUGUCAUUCUCAAACAUGGUCUCCUUGAGAUCAAUAGAGAGAAACGCCGUGCAAAGGAGCUUUCGAACAUUGCUCCAGUGCAACAUUUGAGACCUGGGAUGGUUCUAUUGAAAAACUUCUUAAAGCCAGAUGAUCAGGUUAAAAUUAUCAAGCAUUGUCGGGAUCUUGGUGUUGGCCCAGGAGGAUUUUAUCAACCUGGGUACAGAGAAGGUGGUAAGUUAAGUCUACGGAUGAUGUGCUUAGGGAAGAACUGGGACCCAGAUUCAGGCAAAUAUGGGGAUAUACGGCCUUUUGAUGCUGCUCAACCACCAAAGAUACCAGAAGAAUUGACCAAGUUAGUGGAAGAUGCCAUUAAAGCUUCCCAUGAAUUCUUGGAACAAAGAGGCAAGGGUGCUACCAAACCUGCCGUAGAACUUCCUUUGUUGUCACCGGAUAUCUGCAUUGUUAACUUCUACACCACUAGCGGGAAGUUAGGUCUUCAUCAGGACAAAGAUGAAGAGGAAUCUAGCAUUGCCAAGGGACUGCCUGUUGUUUCCUUUUCAUUGGGCGACACUGCAGAAUUCUUGUAUGGCGAUGUCAGAGACGAGGAUAAGGCCUCAAAGAUUAAGCUUGAAUCUGGUGAUGUUUUGAUAUUUGGUGGUCAAUCAAGGCGCAUAUUCCAUGGAGUCUCAAGCAUUACGCCGAAAAGUGCACCGCUCUGGGUGACCGACAAGGCAAAUCUUCGACCUGGGCGCCUGAACCUCACAUUCAGGCAGUACAAAGAUUGA